rnacentral:rRNA from 1 species
CCUACGGGUGGCUGCAGUGGGGAAUAUUGGGCAAUGGAGGAAACUCUGACCCAGCAACGCCGCGUGAAGGAUGAAGGUUUUCGGAUUGUAAACUUCUGUCGCGAUGGAUGAAGAAUGACGGUACCUCGUAAGAAAGCCCCGGCAAACUACGUGCCAGCAGCCGCGGUAAUACGUAGGGGGCGAGCGUUUUCCGGAUUUAUUGGGUUUAAAGGGUGCGUAGGCGGAAUGCCAAGUCAGCGGUAAAAUCGCGGGGCUAAACCUCGCUCCGCCGUUGAAACUGGCGGUCUUGAGUGCGCGAGAAGUAUGCGGAAUGCGUGGUGUAGCGGUGAAAUGCAUAGAUAUCACGCAGAACUCCGAUUGCGAAGGCAGCACACCGGAGCCCAACUGACGCUGAAGCACGAAAGCGUGGGUAUCGAACAGGAUUAGAUACCCCAGUAGUC